AGACCUCCAGGAAGGUUCCUGGGAGCUAUCCUGACUGUCAGCUGCUGCUCCUGAGAACUUCUCUUCUGACUCAGUGAGCUGAUCACCUCUGCACUUUUGAAGAGACUCUUCCGACGGGAAGACCAGUGGAGCAGUGGUUUUCAAAGCGUGGUCCCCUGGGCACCAUCAACAUUACCUGGGAGCUUGUUCGAAUGUACUUUGCCAGCCCCACCCCGGACCCGAGGCAUCAUGAAUCCCUGAGGUUGGAAUCCGGCGGUGACCCACUCCGUGUGAUUUUGCUGCCACUGACCCUGACGAGCACAGCUCAGGACUGAUGGAGGAUAUGCCGCCUAAUAUGUAUGUCAUUAAGCCUCGUGGCCGGAAUGAGAAAUGGCUUCUGCUCCAAUCCUUCCCACCUGCUACCCUCCUGCUUCUGUUGUCCUUGACUCCCGUCGUGAAGGUCACCAGGCUGCAGACCCAUUAGGCUGCGUGAGACCACUCCAGUGCCUAAGUGUACUCCUGCACCCAGCCUCUUCUGGGCACCUCUCAGCACAAGGGCCGGGGUGAAGCCUCCCGGAGCCCCCUAGCCUCCCAGGCAGACAGGCUGUCAUCUCCUGCACUUCCACACAGCGUUACCUGUUACAAGCCUCUGUUAGAGCGCUUAUCCCAUCAUGCUUUUUUGUCGUGUUAAAAGUAAAGGAGUGAAUAAAUGAAGCCUUUGUUUUUCCUCCCCAGACCUUCCAGAAAGAACUUCUUUGGGAGUCUUUGAAAGCCAUUUUAACGAGACCAGACCUGCUAAUAAAUUUCUUUUCUUGACAGUUCAAAUACUUGGUGUUUGAGAAAUAAGCUAGCUGCAUAGCGAGGGCUGACUGAGUCGCGAGCUGGCCUUGACUUGGUUGGAAAGUGCAGGGGAA